rnacentral:rRNA from 1 species
CAGUGUCUGGUGGGUAGUUUGACUGGGGCGGUCUCCUCCUAAAGAGUAACGGAGGAGCACGAAGGUUGGCUAAUCCUGGUCGGACAUCAGGAGGUUAGUGCAAUGGCAUAAGCCAGCUUGACUGCGAGCGUGACGGCGCGAGCAGGUGCGAAAGCAGGUCAUAGUGAUCCGGUGGUUCUGAAUGGAAGGGCCAUCGCUCAACGGAUAAAAGGUACUCCGGGGAUAACAGGCUGAUACCGCCCAAGAGUUCAUAUCGACGGCGGUGUUUGGCACCUCGAUGUCGGCUCAUCACAUCCUGGGGCUGAAGUAGGUCCCAAGGGUAUGGCUGUUCGCCAUUUAAAGUGGUACGCGAGCUGGGUUUAGAACGUCGUGAGACAGUUCGGUCCCUAUCUGCCGUGGGCGCUGGAGAACUGAGGGGGGCUGCUCCUAGUACGAGAGGACCGGAGUGGACGCAUCACUGGUGUUCGGGUUGUCAUGCCAAUGGCACUGCCCGGUAGCUAAAUGCGGAAGAGAUAAGUGCUGAAAGCAUCUAAGCACGAAACUUGCCCCGAGAUGAGUUCUCCCUGACUCCCUGAGAGUCCUGAAGGAACGUUGAAGACGACGACGUUGAUAGGCCGGGUGUGUAAGCGCAGCGAUGCGUUGAGCUAACCGGUACUAAUGAACCGUGAGG